CCUCUCUGCACAGCAGCGGAAGCCGGAGCUCCUGCUUUCACUGUCUGGGUGAAAGCCUCAGCACUGCAGGGCUGGCAGGAAACAGGAAAGAGGCUAGCAUUCUCCUUGCAUCUGAGGGCAACGGCAGGACUUAGUGUCUGGGCUGAGAACUCAUUAAGUCAGUACGGGAACUGGCAGGCACAUUUGAGGUGAGAGCAAAGGCUCAGGCGACCUCCACAUUCAGUGUUAGAGUCUGUAACCCAUCUCUCUGGGACAUCAGCAGGCCAGCUCCAGACAGGGCCAGAUGGGAGUCACAGGCUGGGAAGAAAGGGGCUCAAGGAGUGCACCAGAGUGAGGGAGAGAACACCAUUAGACCGUGACUGUAAUCUUGUAGAUUCUUAAGAGCAACAGGCUCUUUCACGGCCUUGCAGGCAGACCAACAGACAAUCCACUGCAGUCCUUCCAGCAUGAUGGCAGAGGCCUUUGGACUUUGACUGAAAUCUGCAACACUAGUCCUCUGGCUCCUGCUCCCAGGCCUCCUUCAAACCACAGUACCAGCUCUUCUGGGUCUCCAGCUUCCAGAUGGCAGGUUGUGGGACUUCUCAGCUUUUAUAAUUGCUUGAACCAGGCCAGGCACAGUGGCUCAUGCCUGUCAUCCCAGCGAUUUGGGAGGCUGAAGCAGGCAGAUCAUUUGAGGUCAGGAGUUUGACACCAGCCUGGCCAACAUGGUGAAGCCCCAUCCCUACUAAAAAUACAAAAAUUAGCUGGGCGUGGUGGUGAGUGCCUGGAAUCCCAGCUACUUGGGAGGCUGAGGCAGAAGAAUGGC
rnacentral:lncRNA from 10 species